rnacentral:rRNA from 1 species
UUGACCUCAAAUCAGGUAGGACUACCCGCUGAACUUAAGCAUAUCAAUAAGCGGAGGAAAAGAAACUAACAAGGAUUCCCCUAGUAACUGCGAGUGAAGCGGGAAAAGCUCAAAUUUAAAAUCUGGUGGUCUCCGGCCAUCCGAGUUGUAAUCUAGAGAAGUGUUACCCGCGUCGGACCGUGUACAAGUCUCCUGGAAUGGAGCGUCAUAGAGGGUGAGAAUCCCGUCUUUGACACGGACUACCGAGGCUUUGUGGUGCGCUCUCAAAGAGUCGAGUUGUUUGGGAAUGCAGCUCAAAAUGGGUGGUAAAUUCCAUCUAAAGCUAAAUAUUGGCGAGAGACCGAUAGCGAACAAGUACCGUGAGGGAAAGAUGAAAAGAACUUUGGAAAGAGAGUUAAACAGUACGUGAAAUUGCUGAAAGGGAAACGCUUGAAGUCAGUCGCGUUGGCCGGAAAUCAGCCUUGCUUUUGCGGGGUGUACUUUCUGGUUGACGGGCCAGCAUCAGUUUUGACCGGUGGAAAAAGUCCAAGGGAAUGUGGCAUCUUCGGAUGUGUUAUAGCCCUUGUUCGUAUACAUCGAUUGGGACUGAGGAACUCAGCACGCCGAAAGGCCGGGUCUUCA